rnacentral:misc_RNA from 1 species
AAAGAGAGAAACCCAAAGGGGGGAAAAAGGGGAAGUGUCUGAAAAGAGCGAGCUAGAGAGAGAAAGUGACUGAUCGGAAAAAAUGGAAGGAGUAGAAGGACAAGGUUCAGGGCCACCGGCGGCGAGUGGUUACACUCUACAACCAACUCGAUUAGCAAGCGAAGACAUACUGUUCUGUGUAGAUGUGGACAACGAAUCACUUGUUGAAAUGAAGGUUGCGGCUGCCGGCGGCAGACCUUACACCAGGUUGGACUCAAUUAAGCAGGCAAUCCUUCUAUUCGUCAAUGCAAAGCUCACUAUUAAUCCAGAUCACCGUUUUGCUUUUGCUGCUCUUGGCAAAUCUGCCUCUUGGGUUUGUAAAGAGUUUACUAGUGACAUUGACUCAGUAGUUUCUGCAUGCCGGGGUAUUGCAGUAGAUUCACCUUGUGGCCAUGCAGACCUUACUCAACUAUUUCGAGUGGCAGCUCAUGAAGCAAAAAAGACACGUGCACAAAAUCGGAUACUCAGGGUGGUACUUCUAUAUUGUAGGUCAUCUAUACCACCACAGCAUCAAUGGCCUGCUACCCAAAAGCUCUUCACUUUGGAUGUAGUUUACCUUCAUGACAAACCUGGACCUGACAAUUGCCCUCAAAAGGUUUAUGAUGCCCUUGUCGAAGCCCUGGAACAUGUCAGUGAAUACGAGGGUUACAUAUUUGAGAGUGGUCAGGGGCUUACUCGUGUCCUAUUCCGUCAUAUGUGUACACUUCUUUCCCACCCUCAGCAACGUUGCGUGCAAGAUGACCUUGACAUUCCCAAGUCCCUUACAAAGAAGUCAGCUACCUCUGACUCGGCACCAACUGAUGAAAAUGCUGUUGUUGUCUCUAGCCAAUGAUAUCAUAAACGGUUGGCAAAUCAAACCAUAGUCGUACUGUUUCUCAUCCUUCUUGUUUUCGUGUUCUAUGGGGACGGAGACUAAUGUGGAUAGGUAAUCUGGUCAGUGUGUCACCCCCUACCCGCACCCCACCCUUCCCCUCUUUCUUUCCACCUCCGUCUUUUUUCCUGUAUAGUAAUCACUUUGUUGUGAAGUUUCAAGUCAGUCUAAGAACACAAAUGGAUCAGUGUUGAUGAGCUCUCUUCUUU